UAUAUAUAUAUAUAUAUUGAAAAGUUUUUAAAUUUUGUAUACAUAUAUAUAUAUGUAUGACACUUCUUCUAAAGUUAUUAAGAUGAUGGUUUAAAAGUGAAAACUUUAAACAGAUGAUUUUUACAGACAGUUAGUGAUGGAAAUUUUUUUAUGACCCUUUGAGCCUAGUAUGCUAACAAGGCAAGAUUUGCCAGGUACUUAUAUCUAUGUUGCUGCAAUGUGGUCAAUACAAACAUGAAAAUCAUGAAUGCUUCUAAAAUGAAAGAACCUUAGUGAGCGCGCUCACAUACCCCACGUCCCCACAUUGUCAUUGGAGAAAUAAAAUAAGUGUAAGAAAAAAAAAUUGAAUCAUAAUUUCCUGUCAAUAUGCACAUCGACGUAGUAUGUCCUUAUUAUCUACACAGUUUCAUGAAAUUCUGUUGUGUGGUUUGAGAGGAGUUGCAAUGACAAAAGGUUGCCGUAGUAUAUUGGGCAAAUAAGUUCAAAGGGGCGUAACUCCUGGAAAAACAAUUGAAUCGUAAUUUCCUGUCGAUAUGCACAUCUACGUAGUAUGUCCUUAUUAUCUGAAAAGGUUUCAUGAAAUUCUGUUGUGUGGUUUGAGAGGAGUUGCGAUGACAAACUGUUGCAGUAGUACAUUAAAGUAAAUAAGUUCAAAGGGCGUAACUCCUAGAAAAAGAAUUGAAUAGUAAUUUCCUGUCUAUAUGCACAACUACAUAGUAUGGCCUUAUUAUCUAAAAAGGUUUCGUGAAAUUCUGUUGUGUGGUUUGAGAGGAGUUGCGAUGACAAGAAACAGGACUGACGGACUGACGGAUGGACGGGACUGACGGAUGGGUCAAAAACAUUAUACCCUCCGCAACUCGUUGCGUGGGGUAUAAAAAAAAUCUCAUAACUAGACGAAAAACAAAUUACUUAGUCUAUAUAUACCAGUGCAAAAUUUAUAAAGAAUUUUGAAUGAAAUUGGAUAGCUGUUAAGAU